rnacentral:rRNA from 1 species
GACGAACGCUGGCGGCGUGCUUAACACAUGCAAGUCGAACGGAAAGGCCCUGCUUUUGUGGGGUGCUCGAGUGGCGAACGGGUGAGUAACACGUGAGUAACCUGCCCUUGACUUUGGGAUAACUUCAGGAAACUGGGGCUAAUACCGGAUAGGAGCUCCUGCUGCAUGGUGGGGGUUGGAAAGUUUCGGCGGUUGGGGAUGGACUCGCGGCUUAUCAGCUUGUUGGUGGGGUAGUGGCUUACCAAGGCUUUGACGGGUAGCCGGCCUGAGAGGGUGACCGGCCACAUUGGGACUGAGAUACGGCCCAGACUCCUACGGGAGGCAGCAGUGGGGAAUAUUGCACAAUGGGCGGAAGCCUGAUGCAGCAACGCCGCGUGCGGGAUGACGGCCUUCGGGUUGAAAACCGCUUUCGCCUGUGACAAAGCGUGAGUGACGGUAAUGGGUAAAGAAGCACCGGCUAACUACGUG